CCUGUGUCUUGAAUCUAUAUCAAUAACUCCCCUUUCUUCCAAGCUCUCCUCUUUUAUGCAAAGUGCGCCUUCAUCUGCAUGGAUAGCCAAAAAAUGUCAAAUGUGGAGUCAAAUUUGCACCUUAUGUUGGUUCAGUUGGCAAAUCUACAGCAGGACAAAUAUCCCGGGAUCCCUCCGCCUUUACGUCGUGUAUCUCAUCUACUAUGUUUUCAACUUUAACUUCCACACCCUCGGAUUUUUUAGCCAAACAAGCAGUAUUCAACAAAUAUUUAUCGAAGAAUGAAGAAGGUGAAAAUGAAACAGUGAAGUAUGAGAGGUGGAGAACCUCCGGUGGUAUCGUUCUCACCUGACCUUUCGCUGCAUCAAUGCAGUUUAUGUACAAAUUUC